rnacentral:misc_RNA from 1 species
GAUGAAGAACGCAGUGAAAUGCGAUAAGUAGUGUGAAUUGCAGAAUUCAGUGAAUCAUCGAAUCUUUGAACGCACAUUGCGCCCUUUGGUAUUCCUUAGGGCAUGCCUGUUCGAGCGUCAUUUAAACCUUCAAGCUCAGCUUGGUGUUGGGUGACUGUCCGCUUCACCGCGGACUCGCCUCAAAAUUAUUGGCGGCCGGUACAUUGGCUUCGAGCGCAGCAGAAACGCGAACUCGGGCCCGUCGUAUUGGCUCCCAGAAGCUAUCUUCACAAUUUUGACCUCAGAUCAGGUAGGGAUACCCGCUGAACUUAAGCAUAUCAAUAAGCGGAGGA